GUCUUGAUACAUCCGCCAUGUCUCUUCCUCUAGAUAACAAUGAUGCUGUGUUGCUGAAGUUGAAGGAAAGAACAAAUUCUGUCAGUCAUUGCAACAUGUGAAUAUCACAUCUGAGCCAGAAACCAGAGACUGUACACCCAGCCAUGGAAUCUUCUUUGCUGCCCCAGGGACCCAUAGGGGAACAUUCAAAUGGAGAAAGGGUCCAAUAUUCUGCAAGAGGAGAACCAGCAAUACACAUUUCAGCACCCACGCAAGAUUCAACACUUGCAACCUGUCAGUACAUUGCUGGCCUCCUUGGGAGGAUCACUGAACAACAAGAUGGCAUCAUGCGAGAACUACGGGCAAUGCGCAGGGAAAUGAGGCUAAUGAAAGGUGAACAGCGCCGGACUAAUGCCAGAGUGAUCUCAUUGGCACAGGAACUUGCAGCGUUCAAGGAAUGUUGACAGUGGCAAUAAAAGUUGACAUCA